rnacentral:rRNA from 1 species
AGCUUGUUGGUGGGGUAAUGGCCUACCAAGGCGACGACGGGUAGCCGGCCUGAGAGGGCGACCGGCCACACUGGGACUGAGACACGGCCCAGACUCCUACGGGAGGCAGCAGUGGGGAAUAUUGCACAAUGGGCGAAAGCCUGAUGCAGCGACGCCGCGUGAGGGAUGACGGCCUUCGGUUGUAAACCUCUUUCAGCAGGGAAGAAGCGACUGGGUUUUCCCGGACGUGACGGUACCUGCAGAAGAAGCGCCGGCUAACUACGUGCCAGCAGCCGCGGUAAUACGUAGGGCGCAAGCGUUGUCCGGAAUUAUUGGGCGUAAAGAGCUCGUAGGCGGCUUGUCACGUCGGAUGUGAAAGCCCGGGGCUUAACCCCGGGUCUGCAUUCGAUACGGGCAGGCUAGAGUGUGGUAGGGGAGAUCGGAAUUCCUGGUGUAGCGGUGAAAUGCGCAGAUAUCAGGAGGAACACCGGUGGCGAAGGCGGAUCUCUGGGCCAUUACUGACGCUGAGGAGCGAAAGCGUGGGGAGCGAACAGGAUUAGAUACCCUGGUAGUCCACGCCGUAAAC